AUUGAACGCUGGCGGCAGGCCUAACACAUGCAAGUCGAACGAGUGGCGGACGGGUGAUUAAUGUCUGGGAAACUGCCUGUUGGAGGGGGAUAACUCCUGGAAACGUUAGCUAAUACCGCAUACCAUCGGAUGUGCCCAGAUGGGAUUAGCUAGUAGGUGGGGUAAAGGCUCACCUCGGCGACGAUCCCUAGCUGGUCUGAGAGGAUGACCGGCCACACGGGAACGGAGACACGGUCCAGACGCCUACGGGAGGCAGCAGUGGGGAAGAUUGCACAAGGGGCGCAAGCCUGAUGCAGCAAUGCCGCGUGUAUGAAGAAGGCCUUCGGGUGGUAAAGUACUUUCAGCGGGGAGGCGUUACCCGAAGAAGAAGCACCGGCUAACUCCGUGCCAGCAGCCGCGGUAAGAC
rnacentral:rRNA from 1 species